rnacentral:ncRNA from 1 species
AGCAGGUGCCCCUCUGGGGGAGAAUAGGGAAUCGGGUGUAAAUCCUGAGCGGUCCCGCCACUGUAACCGGGGAGUAACAACCCGAAGGUAUCCACUGGGCCUUGCCUGGGAAGGAUGGGUGAACGAGGAGCCGGAAGCCAGGAGACCUGCCUGUUUC